AAAGGCCAGAAGUGACUCCUGCCGUAGCUGCGGCAGGCCUGGAGGCCGUACUGGGACCUGGCCAAAGACCCAGAAGUCCAGCUUUGAAGAAAACCUGGAGAAAGAGAGAGUCACAAAUCAUCUCCAUACUGCAGGAGAUGCAGAAAUGGCAGAAGGCAUCCCUUGGCUGUGACAGUUUCUUGAUCUUCACUUGAUUUUCAUGGUCUUGACACUUUGAGGACUACUGCUCAGGUUUACAGAUGCCAUUUAUGUCCAGAGCUACUGAGGGUGCCAACAGAUGUCGUUUUGUAAGAAAAGCUCCCCAAAAUUCUGUGCAUCGGACUCAUUUAUGCAAUCUCUGCCUACAUUGGGACCCCACUGAAGCCACGACCCCUAAGGCAGGGCUGGACUGCCUUGCAGUGGGAAACAGCCCAAGUGUCCAUCACUAGAGGAAUGCCUGAGUAUACUGAGGCCAGCCUUACUAUAGAGUCCAAGCAGCAAGUGACAAGGAUGAGGUGGCUCUACAUGUGCACGUGUAGAACUGCCCCCAAGACCUUGUGAAAUGCAAAGAAUAUUGAGUAUCACUUUAGAAUAUAUUAAACAACCUAUCAAGAUUAAUGAGCUUAUUCAGAAAAGAAAAUAAGUCCUGAUCAAUUUCAGCGUGUUUGGACCAGCAGAUUCCAGGUGAUGGAUAGGCAGCUUCAUUUUAAUAGUCUGUUGGUACAGGGUGACCUGUAGCCUUUCCAGAAGAGGUAAAAUGAAUCCUCCGGUUGUCACCCCCUCCUUCCUCGCUCCAAUUCCAUCAUUAAUCCCCGUUUGAGGAUUUGAGUGCUGCCGAGGACUGACAGACUCCAUGAGGUUCAGCUGCUGCCUGGUACAUGUGGUCACCUGCAGCUUCUUCAGCCCUACAUAUAUUUUGUGCUGUUUUAGACUGCUCUUUCUUCCAUUAAAUGAGAGAUUAGAUCUGAAUGGCCACGUGAUCUUCUGAGUCCCAUCUGUAAGAAUCUGCAUUUCCACGGAAUUGGGGGAGCAAACGUUCUCAAAACAUUCUUAAAUGCAAACCCGCAGGCACAGCAUGUGUCUGUCAACUCCAAGAGCAUUUGGAUGUUCGAAGGGAGAGGAUGUUUGACAUCUAACCCGUCGUGGAAAGAGGAGCCUCUACAGUGACAUGAAGGCAAUGGAUUCUCAGCAUUACAAGGCAAGACAGAACUUGAAGGAAGAAGGCUGGGAGGAAACCAAUGUUGAAUGAACACUGACUCUGUGCUCAGCCCUGAGCAAGCAGUGGAAUGCCCCUGGGCUGUGAGCCACGAAUUCAAAUCCCAGCUUGUAGAGCUGUUCUGGGGGUUAGAAGUUUGGGGUCCCUCGUUGCUGCACUCGUUCCAGGUUUGGGGCUGGCGCUGCCCUUCUGACCCCUCCCUAAAGUGGACACAGGAGAAGGAGCGGGGAGAAGAGACAGGCGGCCAGGAGACACCCUGUUGAGGGCUCCCUCUGCUUGCAACAGGACCUGCUGAGGUUGCAGCUGAAGUGCUGGUCUUCCCAGAGAAAACAACCCCUCAUUCUCAAAGGAUGAGAGUGAGCCCUGCGGGGCUGCAUGCUCUUGGCCAUGGGAGAUCAACUGUGGUCACAUAGAGUGUAAUCAGUGUGUAUUUAUGGAUCACUCACUACAUGCAAGACCGGGACACAGCCGGGAUUUACUGUGGGGCUGAAAGCAAGUCACUUAAAAAGGUAAAAAUUCAUGUCCUUUUAAUCUACUUUUCAGCAAGGAACAUCACGUCUGAAUGCUCGCGGCCUCUGCCUGCCCCGUGGGAUGGUGCUGGAAAUUAUACUCAUAUUUAGAUAGCAUUCUCUGCAAGUGGCUGCUGUUGUCCUUCCAUCGUCAGCACAGGCAGAUGCUGGGAGUACCCACCUUGGGGUGAGGUGGCAAGAGAGGGCCAGCUUGUAUCCGCCUCGUUGUCGUCCUUCCUUCCUGACUUGACUCUCUCCUCUGUGGCCUUCUCAGGAGUGGGAUGUGGUUGUGAGGAGAAUGUGCACUUUACCCCUCACCAGUCCAGAGAGGGGCACAUAGCCCAAACCUCUCCCCUUCCCAGAAACCUGCAAGUCCCCCUGGGUGCGCCUGUGUGAUGAGGCAGGCUCCGAGAGCCACAGGCUGGUGGGCCACUAGGAAGCAGUAAAGGAAGACAUUUUAUGAUUGUAGCUGGAGAUAAUGAAUUGAAAAGCUGGUCUCUGUUUCUGGAAAUGAUGCCAGGAGGCCCUCAAAAUAAACGCCCACCUGUCCUUCAGGUCUCAACACCUGCUCCUCCCAUCACCUGUUCCUGGGCAUGGCAUAGGCAGUUGGUAAAUGACAGAUGAAUGAAUACAUGUACAAGGAAACACAGAUCUGAAAUUUCUAGCAGCAAAGUUUGGAGCAGGAAGCUCUGGCUGGCCCUGGGCUUUUUGCUAAGGGUGUUCUGGCUUCGCGUGGCAGCACCCCUCCCCACCGGGCCUUUGCCAGGACGCUCGAUCCUCUCUUCGGGCUUCUGAGCAGUGUGAAUUGCAAACAGCCAUGCCCACUCCCCAGGCCAAGAAAACCAAGUUCAUGGCCAGGAUUGCUCAC
rnacentral:lncRNA from 10 species